rnacentral:rRNA from 1 species
CCUACGGGAGGCAGCAGUGAGGAAUAUUGGUCAAUGGACGAGAGUCUGAACCAGCCAAGUAGCGUGAAGGAUGACUGCCCUAUGGGUUGUAAACUUCUUUUAUAUGGGAAUAAAAUGUUCCACGUGUGGGAUUUUGUAUGUACCAUAUGAAUAAGGAUCGGCUAACUCCGUGCCAGCAGCCGCGUUAAUACGGAGGAUCCGAGCGUUAUCCGGAUUUAUUGGGUUUAAAGGGAGCGUAGGUGGAUUGUUAAGUCAGUUGUGAAAGUUUGCGGCUCAACCGUAAAAUUGCAGUUGAAACUGGCAGUCUUGAGUACAGUAGAGGUGGGCGGAAUUCGUGGUGUAGCGGUGAAAUGCUUAGAUAUCACGAAGAACUCCGAUUGCGAAGGCAGUUCACUGGACUGCAACUGACACUGAGGCUCGAAAGUGUGGGUAUCAAACAGGAUUAGAUACCCGAGUAGUC